GUUUAAGCCACCAUUUUCUACAUUUUAAAAUGCCUGUACCAAGUCAGGAAUAUGACAGUUCUUGUUCAUUCGUUUUUGAUGUGUUUUGUCAUUUGAUUUUGCAGUGUGAUUAUGGACUUUCCGAUUGGAUUUUCCUCUGAGUUCAGUAUUUUUGUGAUUUUUAUUUUUAUUUUAUUUUUUUCCUAUCUUCAUUGUCUUGACAGAGUUGAGCAGCCCACCUGACAGCUAUUGCAUCAAAGGUUCCAAGUUGUUUAAUUGAAGUCAUCCCUGCAAACAUUUUCGGAAGCCUUCAUGAUUUGAAUGACCAUUGUAUAGUACAUGUGUUGUUGAUGACCACUUAUAUGUUUUAAAAGUCACACCAGUCUCAUCUUUUUCCAACAUUAAACAUGACUGAAUGCGACAUAAACGAAUGAGCAUCAUGACGGGUGCCUAUACCUUUCCGCAGUACCCAAGUUCAACCCCGUUUUUUGCGAUGUUCGUGUUUCUUAAUCUUUGUUUUUCUGUGUAGUAAAUUGUUUUCAGUGUUUUCAAAAAGGAAAAAUCAUCAAAGAUACCGGUUUCAUAAUCGUAUAAUCGCGCGUUUCAUAUACAAAAGACGCAUCGGGGACGAUAAAAUGAAAAAUUAAGGCCAAAUGAAGUUAUGACGCAAUGAAGUAGAGAGCAUUAAAACCCAAAAUUCCGACAGGUUUUAUCAAUUAUAGCUUUAUCUUUUUCAGGGAUAUAUUUUGUAAAUUUUGUAUGUUUUUCAGUCGUUUUAUGUCAUAUUAUGUUCAUUUAUACAUUUUGUACAGAAUUGUUGCUAUGAUAUUCAAUAAACA
rnacentral:lncRNA from 1 species